GAGCUGUUUGUCUUUUCCAUCUGGGCUGCAGACUGAGCUGAGAAGGUCAGGGACACAUACUACGGGCAGGACGCAUGCUGGGCUUUGGAGGCCAGUGUGUAUAGGGAGUCCAGCCAUCCUCACAGAACAAACACUCAGCACGUGUCACGCUGGGGGGCAGAACAGCGGGUGUACUAUCUGGAGGUCUCCUCCUGGAAUACUGGUUGCCUAGCAACAAGAU
rfam:Vicugna pacos cont1.144010, whole genome shotgun sequence.